rnacentral:misc_RNA from 1 species
AACGCACAUUGCGCCCUGUGGUAUUCCGCGGGGCAUGCCUGUUCGAGCGUCAUUAUAGCCAUCAAGCCUAGCUUGGUAUUGGAGCCCGCGCCUGCGGCUCUCAAAAAUAGUGGCAGUCUUUACAGACCCUAAGUGUAGUAACAUAUCUCGCUUUUGGACUCUGUAGCGGCUCGCCAGAACCUAAACUUUUCAGGUUGACCUCGGAUCAGGUAGGGAUACCCGCUGAACUUAA